AAUCCAAAAAUAAAACCAACAAAUUCAAAAGUAAAAAAACAGCGGGACCAAAACCAAAAAGGAAUGACCCAUGAAAACAAAAUUAAUAAAAAAAGAAACCUAACCCUAAUCCAGUCAAUAGCAACAGCUGGACACCACAAUCCAUUGUCUCUUCAAAUCACGGUCUCAACUUUUGAUGAUGGCAGAUUCCAAAAGAUCUUUUAAUCUUCUGCUAUCAAUUUCCAUGAAAGCCUUUUCUAUUCUUAUCAGUCUGGUUGUCUCGGCCGCCGUUUCUCCAUUUCGCGACGAACAUAGCUUAGAACAGCACCCAGCAGGUAAUGUCCUUCUCCCUUUUUCAAUGCUUCUUGCGCAAGAAUAUGGGCAUAUUCAUUUUCUGCUUUAGGAAUAAAAUGAAAACCAAUUUCCUAGAAAUGAACCUUUUUACUGUGAAUAUCUCUGAUGAGUGCCCCAAUAACUGAUUUGUCGAGAUCUGUAGUUUGGCAUUUCUUUAUUACCAUUCUUGAAUCCCCCACUAUUUCCAGAAUGCUAAAACCCAUUGAAAUUCCUAACCGAAUGGCUUAUAAUCCUGCAUGUGCCUUCACCGCAAACGGAUAUGGUACUUCGGUGUGAAUAACCGUCUUUGAUGCCAAGAUCUCGCCCCCCACAUCUCGUAUUAGCAGUCCCAAAAUAGAUUUGGAAGAUCGCUUGUCAAAGGCUGCAUCAAAAUAAAUUGUCACCAUCGUUCUCCUUUCAGUUUGUUUGUGGCCUCUGUCUAUUUUUAAGAUUGACCAUAGUCCGCAGCAAAAGAGACGACACUGUUGGCUAGUCCCCUGACCAAAAACCCAGAUAAGCCACUCCCACUUGCUUUGAAUGACAUUAUUAACUACCCAGGAUGAUUUAAAUUCAUCCAUACUUCAAUUAUUGUAGGACAAUAUUGGAAAAUUUAAUUGUUGUCUUCCUCAGAGUUACGACAUCGGGGACAAUGAAUUUCCACAACCACUUUUUUAUGCUUGAGAUUAGUUAAAAUAGAGAUAUAAUUCCAGGAGAUUCUUCGUAUUGUAAUUUUAACUUUCGAAGUAAGAUGUAAAUUCCAUAUUUUCCUGUAAAAAUCUUUAAUCUCGGUCUGUAUAAAAUUAUUACUAGGACCCGAAUUAGCCUCCUGUAAUAGUUUAUAAGCACUUCUAACUGAGAAAUUACCUGACGGUUCUCCUCUCCGUAUGUUGUCUCCUCCAAAAGGAUCUGUAGAAUUUUCUUUGCAAUAUCCUCUUUAAAAGUAUUAACAAUUAUAUCUUUGUUCCAA